rnacentral:tRNA from 1 species
GAGGGUACAGCUCAGUGGUAGAUCGUGUGCUUAGCAUGCACAGGUCCUGGGUUCAAUUCCCAGCACCACCA